rnacentral:rRNA from 1 species
GACAGAGGUGCCGAGCGUUAGGCGGAAUCACUGGGCUUAAAGCGUGUGUAGGCGGGUCGUUAAGUGCCUUGUGAAAUCCCCACCGCUCACCGGUGGAACUGCUUGGCAUACUGGCGAUCUUGAGCCACUUAGGGGCAACCGGAACAAACGGUGGAGCGGUGAAAUGCGUAGAUAUCAGGAGGAACACCGGUGGCGAAGGCGGAUUUCUGGACCAGUUCUGACACUGAUGAGCGAAAGCCAGGGGAGCAAACGGG